GUUUGGUCUCCAUCCUCUCUCUCCUCUCCAGUACUAAGUACUUCCAAGCUCCUUGCAACACCUGCCAGACAGAGCAGGACAAAUAGCGAGUUGUCUACCCUCUCAGAUACCAGGAGAAGCAGCGACGUGGAAGAACACCUCCUGUCCUGGGAAGGAGAGCCUCCAGAGCCGCAAACUGGGCCAGUGCCAGCCGCCUGGUGAAGGCCAUUUGCAGCCAGCCACGUGGUCCAGAGGGACUGUGAGGACUUGGUGAUCCUUCAUUGUCAGGGACUACGUGGCCAUUAGAGAGGCAGUGCUGGCCAGCCUGACGUUGAUGGCUCAGACCAACAUCCAGCUCUUUGAAUUGAUUUGUAUCAAAUU